AGCGAACGCUGGCGGCAGGCCUAACACAUGCAAGUCGAGCGGCCGUAGCAAUACGGCAGCGGCAGACGGGAGAGUAACACGUGGGAACGCGCCCUUCGGUUCGGGAUAACUCAGGGAAACUUGGGCUAAUACCGGAUACGCCCUUACGGGGAAAGAUUCAUUGCCGAAGGAACGGCCCGCUUCCGAUUAGCUUGUUGGUGAGGUAACGGCUCACCAAGGCGACGAUCGGUAGCUGGUCUGAGAGGAUGACCAGCCUCACUGGGACCGGGACACGGCCGAGACUCCUACGGGAGGCAGCCGUGGGGAAUAUUGGACAAUGGGCGAAAGCCUGAGCCAGCCAUGGCGCGUGGGUGAUGAAGGCCCUAGGGUUGUAGAGCCGUUUCAGCGGGGAAGAUAAUGACGGUACCCGCAGAAGAAGCCCCGGCUAACUUCGUGCCAGCCGCCGCCGUAAAAC
rnacentral:rRNA from 1 species